CCUACGGGAGGCAGCAGUGAGGAAUAUUGGUCAAUGGGCGAGAGCCUGAACCAGCCAAGUCGCGUGAGGGAGUACUGCCCUAUGGGUUGUAAACCUCUUUUAUAUGGGAAUAAAAUGUUCCACGUGUGGGAUUUUGUAUGUACCAUAUGAAUAAGGAUCGGCUAACUCCGUGCCAGCAGCCGCGGUAAUACGGAGGAUCCGAGCGUUAUCCGGAUUUAUUGGGUUUAAAGGGAGCGUAGGUGGAUUGUUAAGUCAGUUGUGAAAGUUUGCGGCUCAACCGUAAAAUUGCAGUUGAAACUGGCAGUCUUGAGUACAGUAGAGGUGGGCGGAAUUCGUGGUGUAGCGGUGAAAUGCUUAGAUAUCACGAAGAACUCCGAUUGCGAAGGCAGCUCACUGGACUGCAACUGACACUGAGGCUCGAAAGUGUGGGUAUCAAACAGGAUUAGAUACCCCAGUAGUC
rnacentral:rRNA from 1 species